rnacentral:rRNA from 1 species
CCUACGGGGGGCAGCAGUGAGGAAUAUUGGUCAAUGGACGAGCGUCUGAACCAGCCAAGUAGCGUGAAGGAUGACUGCCCUAUGGGUUGUAAACUUCUUUUAUAUGGGAAUAAAAUGUUCCACGUGUGGGAUUUUGUAUGUACUAUAUGAAUAAGGAUCGGCUAACUCCGUGCCAGCAGCCGCGGUAAUACGGAGGAUCCGAGCGUUAUCCGGAUUUAUUGGGUUUAAAGGGAGCGUAGGUGGAUUGUUAAGUCAGUUGUGAAAGUUUGCGGCUCAACCGUAAAAUUGCAGUUGAUACUGGCAGUCUUGAGUACAGUAGAGGUGGGCGGAAUUCGUGGUGUAGCGGUGAAAUGCUUAGAUAUCACGAAGAACUCCGAUUGCGAAGGCAGUUCACUGGACUGCAACUGACACUGAGGCUCGAAAGUGUGGGUAUCAAACAGGAUUAGAUACCCUUGUAGUC